GCCAAUUCCAAGUGUACCCAGGAGGCAAGGGAACAGUCACCAGCUGGGGAUCCGGCAAAGGCAUUCACUGGAAGACUGAAUCCCUCAGGGCAAAUCAGCUAGCUGAACAGAAGUAAUAAGUAGCAGUUCUGGCAAUUGUCAUUGCUUCUGUGGAAAGCCAGUGGACAGUUGGGCAGAGGACGAUGCUCUGGAGCUUUUAUUCUUCUCCCUUCCUACCAGUUGGCCUUCCUUUAUGGUGGACACUCACAUUGGACUAGACAAGAUCGAUGUCACAGUGAAUGUUGAAGUAACAACUUGGAAGAAACCCGAACAGUGCGGCAGCACUUUUCAAGAAGACUGCUCAGAUCAAGUCUAUUGAGUGUAAGAGAAAGAAACCACGUUGUUGUUUCAGUCAAGCUACUGGUGGAUCUCUUGUAUAACAGUUUAGUUUCACCCCCAUUAAAAUGGAAUUAUAUCUUAAAAGCAGUGUGCUUUGCAGCAAAUUACUAACUACUAUGUGGCUGGACCAAGGAUAUUGACAUUAUAGAUUUGAAAAUUAGUAAUUAUUUUCACGUUGUGGCAAAGCAUGGGGAAAUUGUCACCAAAAAUAAGUUGGGAUUGUCUAACGCCUAGUAAUAGGGUACCUUAAGAAGUACAAUUUUGAAAUUCUCCAAAUUCUCAUACUUAGUCAAUCAGUUUUUUUUUUUUUGCAAAGAUUAGACUCAAUUUAAGAGCUUUGUGUAUAACUAGAAUUUUCAAAUGGAAAUGGACUCAAACAUACCGAGACUUCUGUUUAAAACACUGUGAAGGAAAUUUUACUUGAUAAAAUAUAGAAGAAAUAGAAUAAAUUCCUGACUUCCUACUCAACUCAGUUCUAACCACAAACUCAUGAUAAAUUUAUGAUAUUGCAUCCUCCUUAAUUUCCCCUAAAUCCAAGGGACUAGUAAUAAACAUAAUUAAAAACAUUUUUGUUGAAUUACCAAGACACACAGAAGAAUGAACAGAGCCGAAGAGUUUAGCUCAAUGAACAUAUUCUUGUUACCAACACCUGUCUCAGAAUAGAGAUCUGAUCAACUCUCUAAAGUCCUUCUGGUUCAUUCCAGUAAUUGUAUGUCUUGAGCACAUAAUCCACUAUAGAGGCUUCUAGCACCAUUAAAGAAGAUGUGCUUUUAUUUUUUAUAUAUAUUGAAUAUGUAAAGUGUGUGUUCUUUAGCAUAUGACUUUCUUGAUCACCAUAAUGUCUUCUGAGAGCAUGUUAAGAUCUUUCACUGGAACCUUGAAUUAGUCAAUUAGGCUAGGCUAACUGGCCAACAAGGCCUAAGAAACCUCCUGUGUCUUCCUCCUUAGCAUUGAGAUUAUAGAUACCUAUUCCUAUAUUUUAUAUGGGUGCUAAAGAUCAAACUUAGAUCCUUAUACUUGCAUAUCAAGCACUUUUGCCAACUGAGCCAUCUA